rnacentral:rRNA from 1 species
UACGUAGGGGGCUAGCGUUGUCCGGAAUCAUUGGGCGUAAAGCGCGUGUAGGCGGUUCGGUAAGUCCGCUGUGAAAGUCGGGGGCUCAACCCUCGGAUGCCGGUGGAUACUGUCGAGCUUGAGUACGGAAGAGGCGAGUGGAAAUUCCUGGUGUAGCGGUGAAAUGCGCAGAUAUCAGGAAGAACACCCGUGGCUAAGGCGGCUCUCUAGUACGGUACUGACGCUAGACGCGAA